AAGUCGAGCGAGGCCCUUCCUUCGGGAAGGUGCCCUAGCGGCGAACGGGUGAGUAACACGUGGGCAACCUGCCCCUAGCACUGGGAUAACUCCGGGAAACCGGGGCUAAUACCGGAUAUGACCUCAGAAGGCAUCUUCAGAGGUGGAAAAAUUUAUUGGCUAGGGAUGGGCCCGCGGCCUAUCAGCUUGUUGGUGAGGUAACGGCCCACCAAGGCUUCGACGGGUAGCCGGCCUGAGAGGGCGACCGGCCACACUGGGACUGAGACACGGCCCAGACUCCUACGGGAGGCAGCAGUGGGGAAUAUUGCACAAUGGGCGAAAGCCUGAUGCAGCGACGCCGCGUGAGGGAUGACUGCCUUCGGGUUGUAAACCUCUUUCAGCAGGGACGAAGCGAAAGUGACGGUACCUGCAGAAGAAGCACCGGCCAACUACGUGCCAGCAGCCGCGGUAAUACGUAGGGUGCAAGCGUUGUCCGGAAUUAUUGGGCGUAAAGAGCUCGUAGGCGGUCUGUUACGUCGGCUGUGAAAACCUAGGGCUCAACCCUGGGCCUGCAGCCGAUACGGGCAGACUAGAAUUCGGUAGGGGAGACUGGAAUUCCUGGUGUAGCGGUGAAAUGCGCAGAUAUCAGGAGGAACACCGGUGGCGAAGGCGGGUCUCUGGGCCGAUAUUGACGCUGAGGAGCGAAAGCGUGGGGGAGCGAACAGGAUUAGAUACCCUGGU
rnacentral:rRNA from 1 species